CUUAUAAUGGUAAAUUAUAUGUUUUAUAUUGUUAAAAGAAAAAAUUGUUACCAAUAAGUUUAACAGAAUUUACUUAAGCAAGAAAAAGAGUUCUAGAACCAGUCACCACUUCUGACUGAAAUUGGUUCAGAAUUCCCCACCCUACAAUAUAUCCAGAUCAUUUUUAUAUUCAGAGAAAAGGAAAUCACAUACUUUCCUAAGAAACAACCUGAUUGGCUGCAAUCAGCAUUUACUAGCUAUAGUCAGUGGUGUGGUGAGGCAUUUGCAGCUGAAUGAGCCCAACUUAUAUUAACCUCAUUCCUGACCCCAGAGCUCUCCUCCAACAGGCUGAGCAAAUCCAUAAAUUAUUAAAGUCUACCCUAGAAAGUUAGGUGUUUUUCUCAAAUACUGACCUUUCCACUCUGGCCCAAGUCAUGAAACCAUAUUAGAUAUUGCAUAGUCUCCAUUGUGGCCUGGCCUUAUAAGAAAGUCUAUUUUUUAUAAAUAAAUUCUGGCCAGUCAUUUGAUGCUGAUCUGAAUAUCUUCCAGGGCCAUGGUGGUACCAUUGAUCAGAUCAACUAAAGUCAGGGACAAAAGUUGCAUUGCCUUUUUAAUCAGAUGAGUUACAUAAUAGGAAUAAUUGUUCCCAUUGUGUAUAUUAACAGCAAGUCAGUUAUCAGUUCAAAAAGGUUCUGUGAGUAACCAGGGAUAGCCUCAUUUUAGAAAUAUCUCCAUUAUUAUCUGUGGGUUGCACGAUCUGUGCUCCAUGAUGUUUACUAAAACACAAAAUUCUCUUAUGAUCAUCAUGAAAAUACAGUACACCCUUUUGGAGAGGUUGAUCCAACUAGUUUUCACAUAAGAAAUAUAGUCAUAAGGGCACAUAUGGCACUCUGAGAAAGUGUUGUUUACAAGGGUCAGUGUCCCCCAAGGUCCUGGCCAGUUGGUAGACCUUUGGGUUUCCAGUUUACUUUGAAUAAUUAAGUCUAAUCCUCAUGUGUUAUUUUCUUUCAAUGAAAAAAAUACCUGAUAUAAUCGAUUUAUAAAGAGGAAAGUUUUAUUUAUUUUGGCUCAUAAGUCCAUGGUUACUUGUGCCUCAUUGCCUUUAGGCCUGUGGCAAGUACACCAUGGUGGGGAGCACACUGCAGAGGAAAUUCUUGCCUGUGACAGCCAGGAAGCAAAGAUGAGAAAAGUCCAUACCCAACAUAGGAAUGAAGUAAGCCAGACUUUGGGGCUGUAUCUGAGAGUGGAAAACCAAAGAAAACCAGAAGACAUCAUCAGGCUUCAGCUUAGCUAAACCAUCUGUGAACUUGGGAAACCUCUGUAAUUUACAAGGUCCCCUGGGCCAAUGACUUUGCUCUGCUUAAUUGUGGGUAUGUUUCCCCCAAAGGGUUUACUGCCAGUUUUUUUCAUAUAAGUCUGAGAUGACACCAUGGCCAGGCUAGCUGUGUUCAUGAAUAGACCCAUUUCCAUUUUAUAAGCAAAGCUUUCAGAGCCCAGUUGUCCUAUUUAUUUAUGUGGUACUGGGCCUCACACAUGCCAGACAAGCAUUUACCACUGAGUCAUAUCCCUUGCCCCAAAUUGUCCCAUUUUAACAAGAGCCCAGAUAGUAAGGCUUUCAAAAGGGAUGUACUUGGUCACUGUCAGUAAUGCAUUAACCCCCAAAUCCCCAGAGAUUCUUAUGGAUGCAGUCUGCUUCCCUCUGCCAGGGGUUUCAUUUAGCAAAAUUAUCAGUCACUGAGGCUUAAUAGCUUUUUUAGAAGGGUCAUUAGAGUUGUGGGGCCCCAAAGUAGCAAAUGGGCUGCAGCUAACCAGACAACUUCCAAUGCAGCCUGUUGGUCUGGGGCCUGCUUAAAGGAUGCUGAUUUGUAGAUUAGCUGAUAUAAAGAACCAAGUAGUAUGUCCAUCUGAGGUAUGUGCUAGUCCAAAUACCCAAAGAAUUCAAGAAGGUGCUGGGCCUCCUUUUUUUGGCUGUGGUAGAAUAGAAGAGACAGAAGAUUUUUCCUUGACUGCUGGAAGGAUUAGAUAUUGUGAAUCUGCCCACCCAGUCCCAAGAAAUUGAAUUUUGUCAGGAAUUAUCAGCCAUCUCUGUGGAGAGGUGUCAAUGCUAUAGUCAGGACCACUAAGACUGAGCCUUGACUUGCCACUCAAUCGGACAUCCUCUAGGUUGUGAAAGUUUUGGACAUCAAGAAAGUAAAGGGACUCACCUAAAUCCUGACUUGCCCACUACAGGCAAAUUGCAGGGGAGUUUAUUUCACACUUCUUUGUGUACAGAUCUUCUAUUUGGGAGACUCCUCCACUCAAGGGACAAAAGAAUAACAUCAAUUCUUACCAUACUUUCAAAAGUAGAUGCAACCCAAUACAUGGAAUUGGACCAGAGGGCCUAGGUACUUAGUCUUUUCUUUCUCCACCCUACUAUGGAACUUGCCCAGCCUCCAUUUGGAAACCUUUUUAUCCCUUAACACCAGGUAAGGAUGGUGACUUCGGCACCCAUAAUCAACAGAGCAGUUAAAAGUUUGAGUCCCUCCUGUCCCCAAAGUUCCCCAACAUUUUCAGACAGGUACAUAUGGUCUUUGGUCCACCUUGAAGACGGGAGUACGUCAGCCCCGUCACUAAUAUUUCUCCUGAAAGUAGCUGAGGUUGGGACAGAGAGGGAAUAAAGGAUCAGAAUUAGGGAAGGAGAAAGUAACUAAGGGCCAUUAAAGAUGGGAAUGCUUACUUUCAUUUUGAAGGGUAUAGCAGCAAUUCAUGCCUCAACUGAAUGAACUCCGAAGUUUUUUGCUUACCCAGCCCUAUAUCAAGUGGCAAGGUCAUCACUACCAACACUGUUUCGGCCUUGACUCCACAGCUCCUUGCUUUCUGUCUGGGGCCACAGUGUAUUUUUUCUUUGGCUUACUCUAGACAUGAGCCAUGAUACUUCUUUUAAAUCCAACUUAAUCCAAGCCAUUUGUUGCCCAGUUAUCAUAAUAACGCUUGUUUCUGCCCUUUUGUUUUAUUUUUCUUUGAAACAGGAUCUUGUGGAGGCUGGCCCAAACUUGAGAUUCUCCUGCCUCAGUCUCCUGAGGAGCUGGGAUUACAGGUGCAUGCUACUGUGCCCAGCUUAGCUUUAACAGGAGGACUAGAAACUUUCCUGGGUGAUGAAGUUGACUACAAGAUUCUAUCUAGAAUUAUUUUGGUUCACUUCUCAUUCUCUAAUGAGCUGCCUUUAUGAGCAUUGCAAACCCAAUCCAAGGUGGUAAGAGCCCAAAUACCAGUCAAUGCUACAUCUGUGGUCUUUUAUAGGAGUUAUUCUUAGGGGAAUCUCCCUGAGAGGGCUCAAGAUCAUUUUUAGCUUUUAGGACCCACUGUAAAAAUAAAAACUCUGGGAUCUUUUACCAUUGUCUCCUAAUGGAUUUAAGGUUGUCAUAAGAGGCUUGAGGUAUAGCUUAGUGGUAGAGCAUAUAUUUAGUGUGAUCGAGGGCCUAGAUUUAAUCCCUUAAAAAAAAAUGUUGGCAUAAUAGAUUGCAGGAAGGACCAAGCCAAAAGACAGCCCAGCUAAGACAUUCCUCCUUCACAAGCAUUACAUGCCUCACCUCCUGGGUAAAUCAGUAAAUUAAAUCAGCCAACAUUCCAAUUUGCCUGCUUUCUUUCCAUUGUGGUUAUGAAUUCCUCAUAUUCAUGCUCAGUGUAAGUGUAUAUCUCAGUAACUGUUGUCUCAAAGGGGUUGGAAAUAUCUGCACCCAAGGCAAAUUUUAGUACUGGUUGUUAACAAUAUGAAGACAUAAGGUGCCCACCAGAUUGCUGCCAGAUACACCAUGCCCAAAGAGAAUUAGCGACAACCAGGGCACCAUCCAGGCAGCUGUCUUUGAACCCUCUUCCAGGGACUGGGCCUACAACCCCACCUCAUAAUUUUUUCAUUAACAGACAAUAAAAUAAGGGACCAUUUAUUGCCCAAGUAUCAUACAAGUUGGUCAACAAGUUUGUAAUUGAUUCCCAUGGACUUCCUCUUCAUCAGGCUGCAAGGCUCUCACUGUUCUCCCCCAAAGCCAUGUUUCAGUCAGUAUCCCAUCUUUGUUGCCAAUACUGUCAAGAAUCAUCAAAGGGGCUGGGGAUAAGCUCAAGUGGUAGAGUGCUUACCUUGCAUGCACAAGGUCCUGGGUUCAAUCCCUAGUACCACACACACAAAUCAUCAUCAGAGGUGUUUUUUUUGCAAAUUUGCCUGCAAUAGUUUCAUGGAUGCUGGUAGAUACAACACUCCUGGGUCAAAGACAAAGGACAGUUUAUUAUGACAAUAAAAGUAUUCCAGUGAUUCCAGAUGUUGAGGCAGGAGGACUGCAAGUUUGACACUAAUCUCGGCAACUUAAUGAGGCCCUAUAUAAAACUAAAACAUAAAAGGAAUCUGGGGAUGUGGAACAAUGGUUAAGUGCCCCUGAGCUCAAUCCCUGGUACCAAAAGAAAAAGGAAAAAAAAAAAAAAGGUAGCCCGAGGACCAGCAUUUUCUUGCAUUGAUUCAAGUCCUAUUUAUAAUACUUCCUACAAUGUAACUGCUAUGUAAAUAGUUGCUAUAUUAUAUUGUUAAGGGAAUAAUGACAAGAAAAGUCUAUUUGCUUAGGAUAGACAAAUUUUUAAAAAUAUUUUCUAUCCACUGUUCAUUGAAUCUGUGGAUGCAGAACCCACGGAUAUGGAAGGCUGACUGUAUUAACCAAGUUAUCCUGUUUUAAAAGCCAUCAUCAGUUUACUCUUCCACCAUUCUUUGUAGGAGUGAAUGUCUGCUGGAUUCUACAUGACAAAGAAAGCUCAAAUGUAUCCUCCCCUUUAAUGAUGAUCUCUGAAAAAUACAGGAAAGCUGAGAAAUAGGUUUUGUUAAAGAUCUAGUGCACACUAUCCAUUCACUUACACUUAUCAAGCAAUUAUUAGGUGUCAGAUACUAGGGCUCCAGCAAUGGAGGAGUCAUGUAGACAUCACAACCUGGUAGAGGAAGGGCAGAAAGGUGGGAGUGUUGUUUUAGAAAGUGAGAGAGCUCUGAGGGAAGUGGUGGUGAUGGGGGCACAAUAGGUGCACAAUAGGUGCAAAGGCCCUGAGGCAUGAAAGGACUUUGGCAGGUGAAAGGUACGAAGAGGCGGCCUUGUAUUGCGAAGAUAAAGUAAGAUGUAGACCUCAAGCCCUGGUAAACUAAGAGGCUUUAAACAGCUUGGGAAGGCUACUUCACCAGAUCUCCCAGGGCUGUAAAAGGCAAAAGAUUUCUUGGGGUAGAGCCUGGAAUAGUAGUAUAUAGGCAGCCAAGGAGAUGCAGAGGAAGUCAAGAGGCAGACAGGAGGGGAGGAGUAACCGCCCACCGGGAAGGGCCUUUGGUCUGGAACCGUGGGAGUUUCAACUUGCAUUUCCGGGCGUUGAGGUUUUUCCAUGAACACUCAAUUCCAUGCUGGUCCCAUCACUUGGCCCCUGGGGACCAGCAGCUCAGCAGGAUGACAUCUCAGUAUUUCCCUAGUUUCCUCAAUUCUGUUCUGAAGCUGGAGGGUAGGGACAAGUCCAUGAUAUGUGUCCUUGGAUCCCAAGGCUGAGGCAGGUUGGAUAGAAACAUCACAAGAAACUCUGAGUCAGAGGCAUCACCAGGAAGACAGCUGAAGGUUCUACCUCCUUCCAACCAUCAAUCCAAGUGCCAUUCUUUCUACCUGGGAGAAGUCCCCAAGAGCCAAUAGCCCAGCCAGUCUCUGGCUUCGAAACUCGGAGCUCAUUUCCUGGCUUUUCUGGAAUUGGCUCACCCCUACAGGGUCACUAGGGUUGUUGCUUCUGAUCAUGGCCUGGUCUGAGGAUUGGGAAAACAGCAAAUGACAGGUUUGGGUCUUGCUCUGUCUCUAGCUAAUUGAGUCAUGACCUUAGCCAGUCACUGCCCCUCUCUGGGCCCCAGUCUCCUCCUUGGACUAGACAAGUGACUUCCCAACUUUCAACAUAUUUCAUGGAAUACCAAUGUUACAUCAAAACACUCUGUGGCCAAAUAAUGAUGAAUGGGGUCCCCCAUCAAAAAAUGAUGAAUGUAGAGCCUCAUUUUUACAUCCUAAAUCUCCCAGAGGGUACUGUAGCCUGCUGUGGUUGGUUGUCAAGCUGGUCUAAUCGGGGCACCCUGUUUUAUAACUUCUCACCAUUGGCACUAUGAAGAAGAUACCCCAGGAUGAGCUAGACAAGAGUCUUUGUAGGGGCAUACUUAGUUCUCUCCUGAAAUUUAAUCUGUAGAAAUAACCAUUGACCGUGACAUCCAAUGACCCUUGCCUCCUGGUAUUUGUGCCCUUUGUCAUCUCCAGUGCAUGCUAGAUUCAUUUCUUUUUCUUUCUUUCAACUGUAUUCUCUGUUUAAUACCUUGUGGAUCUCAGCAGAUACUCUGCUGGGUGAGUCCAUGAAUAUAAAAGAUUUCUGAUAAGGUAGAGCUAAUUGAAUUCUGGCCUCUCCAUCCAACAAGCCACUUGGGAACCCUCUGGUAGCCACUGACUCUGUGCCAGAGUCAUUUCAUUUCAUAAAAAGACAAGGACACACAGGUGCUUAGAGUCAAGGCCAAUGACCUCUGUUAUGUUGGAGAUAAUCUAGGGACCAAUGAUUCAUUUAUAAUAAGUAGAAUUCUACAGAAGUGAGGAUGUCGUCUCCCAAGAUUAGGUUAAAGACUAUGGCUUCUAUCCUUCCAGCAUUCUUGGGCUCACCUUCCCAUGUCACCCGCUGCUAUGCUAUGAGGACACUCAGGAAGCCUAUGGCUGGCAUCCCUAUGAGUGAGCUCCAGCCCCACUCUAGCCUUGAGAGCACUGUAUUCCCAGCCACCAGUUUGAUUGAAACAUCAAAAGAAACCCUGAGCCAGAGGUGCCACCUCAGCUGUACCCAGAUUCCUGACCCACGGAAAUUGAGAAAAAUUUUUUCCCCUUUUUGUCCCAGGGAUUGAACCCAGGGGGCACUUAACCAUCGAGCUAUGUUCCCAGCCCUUUCUUUUUAUUUUAUUUAAAGACAAGGUCUAGCAGAGUUGCUUAGGGCCUUACCAAGUUGCUGAGGCUGGCUUUGAACUCCUCCUGCCUCAGCUUCCUGAGCCCCUGGGAUCACAGGCCUUCUUCACCAUGCCUGGCUGUUUGUUGUUUUAAACUGCUAAGUUUGGGAGAUAAUUUGUCAUACAGCAAUGGAAAGCUAAUAAAAUUGUACAGUACCUUCUACAA